rnacentral:rRNA from 1 species
GACGAACGCUGGCGGCGUGCUUAACACAUGCAAGUCGAACGGAAAGGCCCUGCUUUUGUGGGGUGCUCGUGUGGCGAACGCGUGUGUAACACGUGAGUAACCUGCCCUUGACUUUGGGAUAUCUUCAGGAAACUGCGGCUAAUACCGGAUAGGAGCUCCUGCUGCAUGGUGUGGGUUGGUAAGUUUCGGCGGUUGGGGAUGGACUCGCGGCUUAUCAGCUUGUUGGUGGGGUAGUGGCUUACCAAGGGUUUGACGGGUAGCCGGCCUGAGAGGGUGACCGGGGACAUGGGGACUGAGGUAGGGCCCAGACUGCUACGGGAGGCAGCAGUGGGGAAUAUUGCACAAUGGGCGGAAGCCUGAUGCAGAAACGCCGGGUGCGGGAUGACGGCCUUCGGGUUGUAAACAGCUUUGGAAGGUGACGAAGCGUGAGUGACGGUAAUGGGUAAAGAAGCACCGGCUAACUACGUG